rnacentral:rRNA from 1 species
GACGAACGCUGGCGGCGUGCUUAACACAUGCAAGUCGAACGGAAAGGCGCCUUUGGUGGUACUCGAGUGUCGGACGGGGGCGUAACACGUGCGUAACCUGCCCCUGACUUCGGGACUACGUCAAGUAACGGGGGCUAAUACCGGUAAGGAAUACUUGCUGCAUGGUGGGGGUUGGAAAGUUUCGGCGGGUUUGGCUGGGUUCGCAGGUUAUCGGCUUGUUGGUGGGGCAAUGGCUUACCAAGGCGUCGACGGGUGGCCGCACUGAGAGGCCGACCGGCGACACUGGGACCGAGGGACGGCACAGACACCGACGGGAGGCAGAAGUGGGGAAUAUUGCACGAUGGGCGGAAGCCUGAUGAAGAAAGGCCGCGUGCGGGAUGACUGCCUUAGUGUGGUAAACCGAUUUCAGAAGGGGCGAAGCAUGUGGUGACGGUACCUGCACAAGAAGCACCGGCUAACUACGUG